rnacentral:rRNA from 1 species
AACGAACGCUGGCGGCGUGGAUAAGACAUGCAAGUCGAACGCUGAUUUCAGGGUAGCAAUAUUCUGAAGUCGGAGUGGCGCAAGGGUGCGUAACACGUGGGCAAUCUACCGUGAAGUUGGGGAUAACUUGCUGAAAGGCAAGCUAAUACCGAAUGUGAAAAUUAUGAGGCAUCUCUAGAUUUUCAAAGUUGGGGACCGCAAGGCCUGACGCUUCACGAUGAGCCUGCGGCCUAUCAGCUAGUUGGUGAGGUAACGGCUCACCAAGGCUAAGACGGGUAGCUGGUCUGAGAGGACGACCAGCCUCACUGGAACUGAGACACGGUCCAGACACCUACGGGUGGCAGCAGUCGAGUAAUUUUUCACAAUGGGCGAAAGCCUGAUGGAGCGACGCCGCGUGGGG